ensembl:lncRNA
CGGCGCGCGCCGCGGCACCUGCCGCCUCCGCGACGCCGGCACAGCGCUCCAUACGGCCCGGCAGCUCCUCGACGGCUUUUUGUACCGCCGUCACCUGCCAGGAGAAGAGCACAGAGAGCCCCGGGGCGUCAGGCCGCGAGAAUGUACCCAGAGGCAUCCCCGGCAGCGGGCGGUGCGGCCGGCGGUGCUGCUGCAGCGCUGCUCCACGGGCACCGCGUGCGCGUUUCUAAGGGAGGCGGCGGAAAUGAGAAUACUGCAGUGCCCGCAUUGGGUGUAAAUAACAAACAGUGACUUACAGAAGUUAGCUUGAUGCUACAGCUCACGUUAUUCACUCAAAUGGUCGACCCUCUCCACCCCACUGCCCCAGAAGGAAACGUUUGGGGCAUCAGAAGAUAAACAUGAGAUGCACACAGGAAUGGCACAACUACAACUGAACUGAAGUGUGCUGAAGAGCAAGACCAGAUGACCCUUAAAGGCCCCUUUCAACUCGGUCAGUUCUGCGAUUCUAUGAUUUUGAGGAGGUUUCUGACCCCAACUCGAUGACACGUGGAUAAGGCUGGUGCUGCACGCCCCAUCGCUGCUCUGGCAGGAUGUACAGCUCCAGGGUGGCUUUCCUGGUUACAGUGCGUGAUGGUCACAGCUGUGAACAAUGACAUCACACUGAACACAGCAAUUCCAGGACUGGAAAGGACAAACUGUGAUAUCACAAAGAAAGGGAACAAAAAAUCCUUCAGCACCUGGAAGAAGUUCAGCCUGUUUUCUCUCAUGUAUGAGACGCAGCAUGGCUGAGGACAUAAACCCAUUUGCUGGAAUGCAGAUAUGAACACUGGCUGUGUUCUGAGCAGCAGGAAUGUGAUCCAACACGGCCCAAAAGCUGUGCAGCCAUCUGGAGCAGCACUGAGCUAAGAUUUGUGCGUUGGUACCAGAGGAACGGCAGCAGCUGGAGGUUCUGCAUCUACUUAGUGACCACACCUGAUGGCCCAUUAGUGGUCUUUGUGUCUCACUGAGCUCCGUGAGAAGUCUUCAGCAGCAUGAACCGUUACAUUCACGAUGUAAUUUCACCUAGACAAGAUGUUAAACCUACCCACAGAGGGCUCCCAGCCCCUCCUGGGCGUGCACAUCUAGACGGAAGAAACCUCAGGACACGUCACACUGCACAGGUUUAUCGAAGCAGCUAUGGCAGCUAUAAAUCAGUGCCUGGAUUUCAGUAGAGCUAACACGAGUUUACAUCCCCAAACAAUCUGUUCCGUGUCUGCCUGAGUAAAGAUUUCUGCGUGGAAAAUCUGUUGUCCUUCUGCUGCUCCUUUGCAUGCUUAAAAAAAGGAACAGAAUUUCUGCAUCUACUUCCUCCUCAGGAUGAAAGAGCACUCCACUGUUCUGCGGCACUGCACACAGGCAGCUCUGGAAAGAUCACUGCUAGACAGCAGAAAAAUACAUUCUUCUUAUGCAAGAAAAAUCCCAGUCACUUCACAUUGCUAAAAGACACAUUUGAUUUGUGAAAAAAAACAUGGAAGCACUAAGCCUGAUUUCUCACAGUCUUCACAAGGCAGAAAAUCCUAACUGCUAGCUUUUCUGCUGAGCGUAUUAUAGAGCAGUGCAACCUCAGUGGUGGUGCACACAUCGGAUAGGCUGCAGAACAAUCCUAUCAAACAGACGUUUCUUGGCAGGUCUGUGCACAGCCAGCUUCGCAGGCCCAAAGCCGCUGAUCCAGCCAUGUGCUACUAGCAGAGCUGGCUUAAAGAGGCAGUUCAGAACCAAUAUAAAGCUUACAGCUUUGAAACGACUGUUUAACAGCAGCUAUCACAAACUGUUACUGUAAAAUGAUGAUAAAUUCCAAUAAUUUAAUAGAGAAUGCAUGAAAGAAACACCCACAUAAAGAAGUUGCAUUAGCUGUACAGGUUACUGUCCUGUUCUCAGCAGAAUGGAUCAGAGAAGUAUCCUGAGUUGAAAAUGAUCACUAACCAUUACUUUCUUUGCCAAAUCAGAUUAGCUCAGAUGAGUUGUUUAAGUCAGUUCAUUACAUGGCCACGCUAAGGCAAGUACUGACAAAGCCAACAAGUAGUGAGGGGAAGAGCAAAACUGCUGGGCCUUUCCAUAGCAACUUAUCCUGAAGCCUCACCACUUCCAGAAGGCAUUUCAGUGUUCCCCUUUAUUCACUGUUGAUUCUCCCACUUAAAACCAUGACUUCUUUCUGUAAUUUAGGGGAAAAUUUUAUGUAAUCUAGCUUUGAAAAUAGCUUUCUUUUACAUACCAUAUACUGUAGCUGUAGUAAAAUCCCUUCCUCACCACUUCCUUCUACGCCUUUGUUCCUCAACUGCAAAUUUCUCCUUCUAUAUUCCAAGCCCUGGAUAAGAGAAGCUUGUUUAACUCUUUAACACUACUUCCAUUUUGUCUCAACCUCAGUAUAACCUCCUAUGCAACCUUGGAACAAUUUGUUUGCUUUGCCCCGGGAUAUAUAUAUUUAUUUCAAGACUGCUCCUUUGUACAAAGACCUGGGUCUGGUGUUGUAUACCAUGAACCCUUCAUGCCCACAGUAAAUAAAUACAGUGUUGUAACUUAUUCAUUAUGGAGGAGGUGGUGGGGAGGGGGGGGAGAAGGAAAAUUCAGCAUCAAAUUUUCUCUACAAAGUUUUCCAAAAAGCGUUCCACCACUUUCACUCAAAACAUUAAG